rnacentral:rRNA from 1 species
CACGUAGGGGGCAAGCGUUGUCCGGAUUUAUUGGGCGUAAAGAGCUCGUAGGCGGUUCGGCAAGUCGGGUGUGAAACCCCCAGGCUCAACCUGGGGACGCCACCCGAUACUGCUGUGACUCGAGUCCGGUAGGGGAGCGUGGAAUUCCUGGUGUAGCGGUGAAAUGCGCAGAUAUCAGGAAGAACACCCGUGGCGAAGGCGGCUCUCUGGGACGGUACUGACGCUGAGACGCGAAAGCGUGGGGAGCGAACAGG